AGCGGCGUAAAGGCGAGUAAUAGCUGGACAACCUGCCCCCGGAACGGGGAUAACAACCGGAAACGGUUGCUAAUACCCGAUAAUGCCUUUCGAAGGCAUCUUUGAGAGGCCAAAGGUGGGUUCGCCUGCCAUCCAGGGAGGGGUCCAGCCGCUAUUAGCUUGUUGGUGAGGUAACGGCUCACCAAGGCGAUGAUGGCUAGGGGGCCUUAGAGGGUGGCCCUCCGCACUGGGACUGAGACACUGCCCAGACUCCUACGGGAGGCUGCAGUAACGAAUCAUUCGCAAUGGGCGAAAGCCUGACGAUGCGACGUCGCGUGGGGGAUGAAGGCCCUCGGGUCGUAAACCCCCGUCAGGAGUUAAGAAUCGCACGGGUGCCAAUACCACUCGUGCCUGACAAAGGCUCCAGAGGAAGCUCCGGCUAACUUCGUGCCAGCAGCCGCGGUAAGACGAAGGGAGCGAGCGUUGUUCGGAAUUACUGGGCAUAAAGGGUCCGUAGACGGUUUGGGAAGUGGGAUGUGAAAGCCCCCGGCUUAACCGGGGAACGGCAUCCCAAACUCCCUGACUUGAGGGACAGAGGGGAGAGUGGAACUCUCGGUGGAGCGGUGAAAUGCGUAGAUAUCGAGAGGAACGCCGGUGGCGAAAGCGACUCACUGGAUGUUUCCUGACGCUGANGGACGAAGCUAGGG
rnacentral:rRNA from 1 species